rnacentral:rRNA from 1 species
AAAGAAACCAACCGGGAUUGCCUCAGUAACGGCGAGUGAAGCGGCAAGAGCUCAAAUUUGAAAGCUGGCUCCUUCGGAGUCCGCAUUGUAAUUUGCAGAGGAUGCUUUGGGUGCGGCCCCCGUCUAAGUGCCCUGGAACGGGCCGUCAGAGAGGGUGAGAAUCCCGUCUUGGGCGGGGUGUCCGUGCCCGUGUAAAGCUCCUUCGACGAGUCGAGUUGUUUGGGAAUGCAGCUCUAAAUGGGUGGUAAAUUUCAUCUAAAGCUAAAUACUGGCCGGAGACCGAUAGCGCACAAGUAGAGUGAUCGAAAGAUGAAAAGCACUUUGAAAAGAGAGUUAAACAGCACGUGAAAUUGUUGAAAGGGAAGCGCUUGCAACCAGACUCGCCCGCGGGGUUCAGCCGGCAUUCGUGCCGGUGUACUUCCCCGUGGGCGGGCCAGCGUCGGUUUGGGCGGCCGGUCAAAGGCCCCUGGAAUGUAGUGCCCUCCGGGGCACCUUAUAGCCAGGGGUGCAAUGCGGCCAGCCUAGACCGAGGAACGCGCUUCGGCUCGGACGCUGGCAUAAUGGUUGUAAACGAC